AUUGAACGCUGGCGGCAGGCCUAACACAUGCAAGUCGAACGAGUGGCGGACGGGUGAGUAAUGUCUGGGAAACUGCCCGAUGGAGGGGGAUAACUACUGGAAACGGUAGCUAAUACCGCAUACCAUCGGAUGUGCCCAGAUGGGAUUAGCUUGUAGGUGAGGUAACGGCUCACCUAGGCGACGAUCCCUAGCUGGUCUGCGAGGAGGCCCAGCCACCCGGCAACUGAGACACGGGCCAGACCCCUACGGGAGGCAGCACUGGGGAAUAUUACACAAGGGGCGCAGGCCUGAUGCAGCCAUGCCGCGUGUAUGAAAAAGGCCUUGGGGUUGUAAAGUACUUGCAGCGGGGAGGCGUUACCCGCAGAAGAAGCACCGGCUAACUCCGUGCCAGCAGCCGCGGUAAUAC
rnacentral:rRNA from 1 species